UUGGGAGAAAAUUAGAAAAUCUUGGUCUGCCUGUCGAUCAACAGUGAUGUUCUGCCACGGACGGCAGCACAAGUCUUAAUGUGCCCGGAUGGCACAUUUAAGACGCACACGUCACUCCGCCACAAUAUAAAUCAGGCAUACUUAGACUUUCUUAUUUUCGUAC
rnacentral:ncRNA from 1 species